rnacentral:lncRNA from 1 species
GCCUAGACAAAGUAUGUAAUGAACUUUAAAUAUGUAUAAUAUAAUUGAUUUUAGUUUUUUAUUCUUUAAUUAGUGGAAAUGGAGAUUGUUUUUAGGUUUAAUAUUCCAUCCGUUAGAUGUCCUUACUGUUUGUCUUCCAAUUUAUUGUGUUAUUCAGUAACUACUGGAUUUGCCUAUUACUGUGUAGAUAUAUGUCAUAAAUACGGAAACUGUUUGAAAGAAGAUCUUGCUUUAGCCUUUAUCAUCCGCCUUAUGUGUGCAGUAGAUUAAAUGGUAAUGAUUAUCCAAUAUGUCAGAAAUGCAAAAGAUUUUCUUAUAAUUAUUGUGUCUAUUGUAAAACUUAAUAAAACAUAUCUUAUAACUUUUAGCAUUAGAUUUUACUUACAUCAUUCAUUCUUACAACUAAAAGAAAUUAUUUUUUAUUUACAAAAAACAAUAUUAACUUUUUCAGUAUAUUGGAGAGACUUGGAUAAAUUUUAAAGUCUUUACCAGUGUUCAAAAAACAUUUGUCUGUAUUUUAACUGCGGUUGGUAGUCCUGCUACUGCAACAAUGAUCUAAUAUCUUAGUCCAAGUGUGUGUAAUGAUGAUCUAAGUCCAAGAUAAAAAACAAAGUAUUGUUUGGAUAAAUUGUUCGAAAAACAUGUAAGACCAUUGGUUUCUUUACUAAUUGAAGAUUAUCAAUUUGAGUAUAGGAAAAUGUAAUUAAAUUCAAAAAAUAUAACUGAUUUAUCAUUAACUUGGUAGGUGCUUUUUCCCUGCAUCUUAAUUACUUUGUUUUUUAUCCUAUCUAAUGAUGGACUUGCACUUAGAUCAUAUAUGACCACUUGUAGUAGGGGAAAAGAAAGUUUUCUUCUUAUUAGGAUGACAUCACUAGAUCACAUGUUGCCAUACUCAAUAGUAAUUAGAGUUAGAUCUUGUUAUUAAGAUGACAUCACUAGA